rnacentral:lncRNA from 1 species
UUUCUUUUCACUUACAAAGAUAUAAAUGUCAAAUAACAAUGUUUACGAUUUUUUUUAAUAAAAAAAAUACAACUUUAAUUUCAACUGAAAAAAAAAAAAAAACAAAGAUGUUAUUCAAACAUCUGUACAUCUAUCCAAACCUCAGUUAAAUUCAGCUCUAAUCGAUUUCAGAUAAAAAAACAAACGCUAGCUAAUUGUGCUUUCACUUCAAUGUUAAUUGUGCUUUCACUUGCUUUCACUUCAAGGUUAUUCGCAAGAAGUUUCUUUCACUCAAAUUGUGUGCACCACAUUGCCCUUCAAUUGCUUUGAAAAAUUAUGACCACCUUUUAAGCAGACUCUGGACCGCUAGGGAUUUCUUCAUAGCCAUCAUGG